rnacentral:rRNA from 1 species
UAACACACCGAAAGGUGUACUAAUACCGCAUAAGACCACGGGAUCACAUGGUUCUGGGGUAAAAGAUUUAUCGGUUUGGGGUGGGCUCGCGUCCGAUUAGGUAGUUGGUGAGGUAACGGCCCACCAAGCCGACGAUCGGUAGCCGACCUGAGAGGGUGAUCGGCCACAUUGGGACUGAGACACGGCCCAAACUCCUACGGGAGGCAGCAGUGGGGAAUAUUGGGCAAUGGAGGAAACUCUGACCCAGCAACGCCGCGUGGAGGAAGAAGGUUUUCGGAUCGUAAACUCCUGUCCUUGGAGACGAGUAGAAGACGGUAUCCAAGGAGGAAGCCCCGGCUAACUACGUGCCAGCAGCCGCGGUAAUACGUAGGGGGCAAGCGUUGUCCGGAAUAAUUGGGCGUAAAGGGCGCGUAGGCGGCUCGGUAAGUCUGGAGUGAAAGUCCUGCUUUUAAGGUGGGAAUUGCUUUGGAUACUGUCGGGCUUGAGUGCAGGAGAGGUUAGUGGAAUUCCCAGUGUAGCGGUGAAAUGCGUAGAGAUUGGGAGGAACACCAGUGGCGAAGGCGACUAACUGGACUGUAACUGACGCUGAGGCGCGAAAGUGUGGGGAGCAAACAGGAUUAGAUACCCUGGUAGUCCACACUGUAAACGAUGAAUGCUAGGUGUAGGGGGUAUCGACCCCUUCUGUGCCGCAG